rnacentral:sRNA from 1 species
AUUUAUAAUUGUUAUUAAGUAACGUCCCGCCAAACCCGUCCCGCCAAACCCGUCCCGUCAACCCGUCCCGUAAAAAAAACAUUUAUUUUAUUAAUAUUGAUCUUAUUUAUGAUAUGUUGAUGAAUUAUUGUCUAAAUAUUUUGUAAUUUUGUAGUAAUUAAAUGCUAUCAAAUAUCUCUGCGGUUUGAUGAUUAUAAUCGAAUUGUUAUAGUUAUGGAGAAAAGCAAUAUCAAAAAUGAUAAUUUUGUAGUAAUUAAAUGAUAUUAAAUAUUUUGAAAGUUUUAUUUUAUUAACUAAUUGUGUAGUUAAUGUGGAGAGAUUUAGGGAAGAUUGUUAAAUGUCAAAUAUUUAAUUCGAAGAUUUUUUUUUCUAAUUAUCAAAAACAAACAUUAAAAUCCAGUGGCAGCCAUUGUAAAUAAGUCCCAACUACAGGAUUUAUUUCACCAAAUGGCUGCAAAAAUGUAUAUGUAGAUUUU